rnacentral:lncRNA from 10 species
GGCAGGAGAAUCACUUGAACCUGGGAAGUUGAGGUGGCAGUGAGCCAACAUCAUGGCACUACUGCACUCCAGUCUGGGCAACAGAGUGAGACUCUGUCCCAAAAAAAAAAGUGGGGGGCACCAUUUGUAUUGGAUUAGGCCCACUCUAUGAGUCCCAUUUUAACUUAACCACCCUUUUAAAGUCCCUAUCUCCAAAUAUAGUCACAUUCUGUGGUAUUGGGGGUUAGGGCUUUAACAUAUGAAUUUGGGGAGGACACAGUUCAGUCUAUAACAUUCUGCUCUCUCUGGCCUCCCAGAAUUCAUGUCCUUGCAUGCAAAAUACCUUCACCCCCAUCCCAGCAGCCCAAAACUCUCUUUUGUUUUUUUGGAGACAGGGUCUUGCUCUGUGGCCCAGGCUGGAGUGCAACGGCACGAUCUCAGGUCACUGCAACCACAGGGUUUCACUAUGUUGGCCUGGCUGGUCUUGAACUCCUGGCCUCAGAUGAUCCACCCACCUCAGCCUCCCAAAGUGUUGGGAUUAUAGGCAUAAUUCACUGUGCCAUAAGCCACUCUGAAAGCUCUUAAUCAAGUCUAGCAUUAACUUUCAGUCCCAAGUCUUACCUAAAUAUCAUCCAAAUCAAGUGUAAAUGAGACUGGAGGUAUGAUUCAUCCUGAUGCAAAAAUUCUUCUCUAGCUGUGAACCCGUGAAACCAGAUAAAUCAUCUGCUUCCAAAAUUCAGUGGUAGGACAAGCAUAAGCUAGAUAGAUAUUUCCAUUCCAAAAAGGAGAAAUCACAAAGAAGAAAGGGAUCACAGUCCAGGCGUGGUGACUCACGCAUGUAAUCCCAGCAUUUUGGGAGGCUGAGAUGGGAGGGUCACUUGAGCCCAGGUAUUUGAGACCACCCUGGGCUACAUGGUGAAACCCCGCCUCUACAAAAAACUAAAAAAUUAGCCAGGUAUGGUGGUACAUGCCUAUAGUCCCAGCUCCUCAGGAGGCUGAGGUGGGAGGAUUGAUUAAGCCCAGGAGGUCGAGGCUGCAGUGAGCCCUCUUCUCACCAGUGCACCCCAGACUGGGCGACAGAGCAAGACCCUGUCUCAGGAGAAAAAACAGGGAUCACAGGUUCCGAAUAAGUUUGAAACCAAAUAGGGCAAAUUCUAUUAGAUUUUUAAGGCUUGAGAAUAAUCCUGUUUGGCUCUAUGUUCUGUCCUCUGGGCCCACCAGAUUGGGGGCCCCACUUUCCUGGUUCACUGGAGAGGCGGUGUCUCUCCCUGAGCCCUGGGUGGCAGCCUGGCCCACUGAAACAGAGGAGGCCUCUUUGCCCUCUGGAACUGAGGAGGAGACAGCCCCACCUUUGGGAUCAUUCUCCCUUUUUCUUGAAGUAUAAUGCAUGUUCACAGCCAGAAAGCUCUGUUGUCGUGUCCUGUUGAAUCCCAGAAGUCCUACAGUCUUCUUUCAUUUUGUCCCAUCUCUGUCCUCUUUAGUCCCAGCUGGCCGUGUUUCUGCUGGUAUUACCCAUCUGUAUUCCUGGCUUCUGCCAAGAUGGCUGAUUAGAGAGGCCCCACCAGCAGAAGGCCCUCACCAGAUGUGACUCCUUGA